rnacentral:lncRNA from 1 species
CUUGGAGCUAUAUUGUGAAGCAGUACAGUGUAAAAUCUAAUAUUGUGUUUAAUUAAAAAUAUUAAGUAGAUUGAACUCAAUUUUUAUCAAUUUGUUAUUAGAACUCAGUUUAAGUAAGUUACCAGUACUUUUUAUUCAAAAAAGAUGAUCAACUCAAUUUAUUUGAGUUUUCUGAACUUAGAAAACCUAAGUAAGCUGGAAAAUGCCACGUCACUACCUUCCUCCUCCCUCGCAUGGAUCAGUCCGCAUGUUCGUGGUGCCGCAUUUUUUUCUGGAAUAUGUUGAGCAAACCUGGAGAAGCUUCAGCUCAAGAGAUUAUUGUUGUCAUUGCUGUGGAUCUUUACCCGAUACACCGAUUUGGCUUUGAUGACCAAUCAGACGCCAGUAAAGAUGGGCUGGUGCAUAGAGGAGGGUCACUUUCUUUAGGUUAUAUUAAUCCAUCGUUCCCCUGCUCCACUCAGAAGGACAGAGACUCAGGAUGGCCCGGCCUCUGCAGCUCAUUAUCGUGGUCUCCUCCUUAAUAGCUGCCUCUCUGUGUGAUGUCUGUGUGGAAGCUGUUUUAGGAAGACAGUUCACAUUUCCAGAAAACUGCAGCAAUGAUGGAGGAAAACUGUUUCGGUGUGAGCCGCAUGGGGAGGUGGAGGUGGCUGUUCACCAGCAAGGUGUGUGGACACCUGCUCAAGGCUACGAAGACCGUAUCAGUAACAAUUCCUCCAUUAUCUUCUAUCACGCAUUUUCCAAUGAUAGCGGGGAUUUUGUGUUAAGGUGUAGAGAAGGCGCGCAAAUUAAAAUUAAAGUUAAAGUUCUGCUUCCCUUUAAUGUAACAGUCAACGAGGGAGAAAAGGCCACCUUCCCGUGCUUUUAUCAACCUACCUGCAGCAAGUCUGAGACUGCACAGUGUGUGAAAAACGGGCAGAAUUUCACCAGAGACAAAGGAAACAAGUGUGCUGAUGGCCGACUCUCUCUGUCACCUAAACGAGACUGUUGCCCAAACGUAACACGAGCUGAGAAGCAAGACGGAGGAGAUUAUUUUUGUUACAUCCAGUGUGGAGGGAAACGGUUCGCAGCUGUUGUGAGGCUAAAGGUCAACGGGGCAUCCACUUCACCGCCUGCGUCUAAACCACAACAAGCCUGA